rnacentral:misc_RNA from 1 species
GGGAGAUUGGUGGGUCUGUUGUACAUAGGACGGUAAUUGACAGUGUAUACUGAGGUUGUAAAUGUGCAAGUUUUUUGCCAGUAACAUCAUGUUGGCUGUAAUUUGAUCCAGCUAACUUUAGGGGGCAGAUGUAGCUGUUCGCUUUGGCUUCACUUCGUUUAAAUGAUUGCAAGGGGAAGGUUGCAGGCCUGUUUUUGCUUUGUAAAAAAAAUAUUCUCGCAGGUUAUUUAUUAAGAUUGAAUUGGG